GACGAACGCUGGCGGCGUGCCUAAUACAUGCAAGUCGAGCGGACUUAAAAAGCUUGCUUUUUAAGUUAGCGGCGGACGGGUGAGUAACACGUGGGCAACCUGCCUGUAAGACUGGGAUAACUUCGGGAAACCGGAGCUAAUACCGGAUAAUCCUUUUCUACUCAUGUAGAAAAGCUGAAAGACGGUUUACGCUGUCACUUACAGAUGGGCCCGCGGCGCAUUAGCUAGUUGGUGAGGUAACGGCUCACCAAGGCGACGAUGCGUAGCCGACCUGAGAGGGUGAUCGGCCACACUGGGACUGAGACACGGCCCAGACUCCUACGGGAGGCAGCAGUAGGGAAUCUUCCGCAAUGGACGAAAGUCUGACGGAGCAACGCCGCGUGAGUGAUGAAGGUUUUCGGAUCGUAAAACUCUGUUGUUAGGGGAGAACAAGUACGAGAGUAACUGCUCGUACCUUGACGGUACCUAACCAGAAAGCCACGGCUAACUACGUG
rnacentral:rRNA from 1 species